rnacentral:rRNA from 1 species
AUACGGAGGAUGCAAGCGUUAUCCGGAUUUAUUGGGUUUAAAGGGUGCGUAGGCGGUUUGCUAAGCGGGAGGUGAAAUGCCGGCGCUCAACGUCGGAAGUGCCUCCCGAACUGGUGGACUUGAAUGACUCUGCCGUGGGAGGAAUGUGUAGUGUAGCGGUGAAAUGCUUAGAGAUUACACAGAACACCGAUUGCGAAGGCAUCUCACGAAGGGUUGAUUGACGCUGAGGCACGAAAGCGUGGGGAUCAAACAGGAUUAGAUACCCUGGUAGUCCACGCAGUAAACGAUGAUGGCUAACCGCUGGAUCCAUCGGUUCAGUGGCCAAGCGAAAGCGAUAAGCCAUCCACCUGGGGAGUACGACCGCAAGGUUGAAACUUAAAGGAAUUGGCGGGG